rnacentral:sRNA from 1 species
UAGCACACCUGUUAGUUGAGGAACAACUUCAGGCUGCUCAUUUAGAGCCUAUGCUCAGCCAUUGGAACACACCCAUCUUUGUAGUUAGAAAAAUAUCUGGUAAGUGGAGAUUAUUACAAUACCUGAGAUCUAUUAAUUGUGUUAUAUAGCCCAUUUGAGCACUACAGUCUGGGCUUCCUUCUCCUGCAGCUAUUCCUUUAGAUUAUUAUUUGAUAAUAAUAGAUCUGAAAGAUUGCUUCUUCUCUAUUCCUUUGCACCCAGAUGACUGUAAAGAUUUUGCCUUUAU